UGUUGUAGGCUUCAUUUUAGGCCCAAAACAUGUUUGGUAGUUGUUGUUUUGGGCCAAAAAGUGAAACACCAAAAUGGUGUUUUUCUUGUUUCAAUUCUGUUAGCCCAAUAGAAGCACUGUAGCAAGGAAACAAGUUAUGCCAACACUGUAGCGGAGGAAACAAGUUUAAAAUCCACUUGCAACAAUCGACCCGAUAUUUUUUCUCUCCUCUGAAACCGUAGACAUCUGGCGAUUUGGGAGGCGACUCAAACAAACCUCGCGAUAUUGAAGAGUGAAAGUCCUUUGAAGCCCUAAAACACUUGUAAUAGUAUGAUUACAAGUGUUUUUCGAUUCUAGAGACGAUUUGUUUUCUCUCUUGCAGUUGUGUGAGGCAAUUUCUCUCUCUGUAUUCAGCAGCAGCCGCCCUGUGAUAUAAGGUGUGUUGAUGCUUUCUUGAAGGUGAUGUGUGUUGUUAUGAAGAUGAUACGUCGUUGCCGUUGUCAUCUACUUUAUGAUCAUAUUAUUAAUUUUUAGUGACAACUAUGUAUUGUUAAUGCUUUGUUCCAAACAUUUUAUGUAGAACAUAAACUUGUUUAAUUUGUUAGUUGAAUAUUUAAGCACUUGUAAA